rnacentral:rRNA from 1 species
GACGAACGCUGGCGGCGUGCUUAACACAUGCAAGUCGAACGAUGAAGCCCAGCUUGCUGGGUGGAUUAGUGGCGAACGGGUGAGUAACACGUGGGUGAUCUGCCCUGCACUUCGGGAUAAGCCUGGGAAACUGGGUCUAAUACCGGAUAGGACCUCGGGAUGCAUGUUCCGGGGUGGAAAGGUUUUCCGGUGCAGGAUGGGCCCGCGGCCUAUCAGCUUGUUGGUGGGGUAACGGCCCACCAAGGCGACGACGGGUAGCCGGCCUGAGAGGGCGACCGGCCACACUGGGACUGGGACACGGCCCAGACUCCUACGGGAGGCAGCAGUGGGGAAUAUUGCACAAUGGGCGCAAGCCUGAUGCAGCGACGCCGCGUGAGGGAUGACGGCCUUCGGGUUGUAAACCUCUUUCAGUACCGACGAAGCGCAAGUGACGGUAGGUACAGAAGAAGCACCGGCCAACUACGUGCCAGCAGCCGCCGUAA